UAUAGAUUGCUAAUCUGUUUUUGUCACUUCCACUACGUGAUUUACAUUUACGUUUUAUAAUCCUCUUUCAAUGAUAACGUAAAAAUCAAUAUUUAUAUUUAAUGAAAGUUUCGUAAUUUCUGAUUGUAUUACCUUUAACCGUCAUAAUCUUCAUCAACAUCACAGCACUCGCUGCAUCCACACAUAUGCAGCAGCGCGAUGCAGCAUGCACAGCACAGCAACCUUUUCAAGCAACGGCAGCAGUCGUUGCAGCACAUUACAACAAUUUACUUUUAGACCUAUCAUCUUAUUUAUCUCUUGUAAUGCUCUUUCAAGGAUGACGUAGGUGACGUAGGUAUUUAAAAUCGAUCUUUAUAUUAGGUACUUGGGUGUUUCAUAAUCUCAGAUUAUAUUAUUUUUAACCGUCAUAAUCUUCAUCAAUAUCACAGCACUCGCUGCAUCCACACAUAUGCAGCAGCGCGAUGCAGCAUGCACAGCACAGCAACCAUUUCAAGCAACGGCAGCAGCCGUUGCAGCACAUUACAACAAUUUACUUUUAGACCUAUCAUCUUAUUUAUCUCUUGUAAUGCUCUUUCAAGGAUGACGUAGGUGACGUAGGUAUUUAAAAUCGAUCUUUAUAUUAGGUACUUGGGUGUUUCAUAAUCUCAGAUUAUAUUAUUUUUAACCGUCAUAAUCUUCAUCAAUAUCACAGCACUCGCUGCAUCCACACAUAUGCAGCAGCGCGAUGCAGCAUGCACAGCACAGCAACCAUUUCAAGCAACGGCAGCAGCCGUUGCAGCACAUUACAACAAUUUACUUUUAGACCUAUCAUCUUAUUUAUCUCUUGUAAUGCUCUUUCAAGGAUGACGUAGGUGACGUAGGUAUUUAAAAUCGAUCUUUAUAUUAGGUACUUGGGUGUUUCAUAAUCUCAGAUCAUAUUAUUAUUAACCGUCAUAAUCUUCAUCAAUGUCACAGCACUCGCUGCAUCCACACAUAUGCAGCAGCGCGAUGCAGCAUGCACAGCACAGCAACCAUUUCAAGCAACGGCAGCAGUCGUUGCAGCACAUCACGAUUUACUGUUGCACCUGUAGGUAUGCAUAUUCUAAACAUACCUACGUGUUUCUAUCUAGUACUUAGGAUUUUUUCUUUACAUAAGUACUUAUUUCAAUUGUAUUUUCGGUUUAUUUGAAAUGCUUGGUUUUACAGUUGUAUUCGUUAGAUAACCCAGAAUAUAAUCGUUUUUAGAAUACAAGAAUGUCGUUGCAAAUAUAAUCUAAAGUUAGUAUUCUUCGAAUAUCUCAGAAGUCACAAUAUAAACCGAAAGACAGCAAUAUUGUUGUGCACAAUAACUUAAAAUGACUCUACUGUCUUGAAGUAAGUCUUUACUUUCAGUAAAUAUUAUUAAAUUUCAUUGGAAGAAAUUUAUUUUAAUGGCAAAAAUA